CCCAUCAAUAACAUCCGGUAUGCUGAUGAUACGGUGCUUCUAGCUAGCGAUGAGAAAGAACUCCAGUGCCUGGUGGACAGAGUGAAUAAUGUUGGUCUUAAGUAUGGUCUCAAGAUAAACAUAAAGAAGACAAAAUUUAUGGUCAUCACUAAAAUAAAUAUUGAUCAUGUCAGGAUACGGAUAGAAGAUCAGGAAAUAGAAAGAGUAAGAAGAUUUAAAUACCUGGGAUGCUGGCUGAAUGACGAAUGGGAUCCUGAUGAAGAAAUUAGGAGUAGAAUAGAAAUAGCUAGAAGUACCUUUUUUAAAAUCAAGACAUUGCUUUGCAACCGUGAUCUGAGUUUGACUACUCGAUGGCGAGCCACCAAAUGCUAUGUACUGUCCACACUGUUAUACGGAGUUGAGGGGUGGACGCUGAAGGCGCGGACCAUGUCACGUUUGGAUUCUUUUGAGAUGUGGUUAUACCGACGGAUACUAAAGAUAUCAUGGACCGAACGAGUAACAAAUGAUAGGGUACUCGAAAGAAUGGAUAAAGAACGGGAGCUUUUAACAACAGUAAAGCGAAGAAAAGCAGCUUAUUUCGGCCAUAUUUUCAGGAACAGCAAGUACAGUUUUCUGCAACUAAUCGUUGAGGGAAAGAUCGAAGGACGAAGAGGCGUCGGGCGUAAAAGAUUCUCUUGGCUGCGAAAUCUACGCCAGUGGUUUGAUAUAAGAGAGGCCAGUACGAUCAUCCAUUUGGCACGAGACAGAGAGGAAUUCCAGUUGAUGGUCGCCAACCUCCGUUGAGGAGACGGCACUCAAAGAAGAAGAAAGGUUAAUGAUUUCUGUAACAGGAGGUAUGUUGCAUUGCCGGUAGAUGUCAUGUUAUAGCGUUAAAUUCAAACUUGCAUUUAAAACACAAAAAGUAACAUCAACACGUUCAGUUUUUUCAUUCAUUUUUUUGUAUCUCGGUUAUCAUUCAAUUUGAGUUCUUUUGAAAAUGCAUUUCGAAUAUCGUUCUUUUUCCAUCGUAGCCUCUCACAGAGUAACAACGAAAUUUUGGCGAGCAGUAGAGUUUAAAGUCGGCAUUUUUUGAAAUUUAUUAUGGUAGCUGAAUUAAUUUUUCUGCUAAGGCAAUAAUCAAUUUAAUUUGGAUAGCCUAGUCAAAUCAAGUAUUUAUUUUGUGAGCUACAAUUGAGUGAAAAUCCUCGACAACGAGGAUUUUUAUUAUAUGGUAAUUUUUUUUCUAUUGGACGUAUUGGUAUCAUUCAAGAUCUUCACGAAAAUUGCGAGUUAAUGGUGCAUACCUCCUGGGAAAAUUGUUCAAUUGGUCCUACAUUUGUUGCUAGAGAUUUUCGUACCGUUUCAUUUUGAGUCACUUGGUACAGUUGGCUUGGGGAGGAGAUUCACCCUAAUUUUAAGAUAAGUUCCUUCUCAUGGUUUUUUUUCUUCAUUGUUGAUUAGAUACAAUUUUGGAUAUAAUAUUAAAUUCACCUUUGGCACAUUUCCUUUUCUAAAUUUUUAUUAUAUUUUCUCAUAUUAACAUUACCAAUAUUUAAAUAUUGUAAUUUUCACAUUAUAUUCAGUAUAUUUAAUAUUCCAGAUUUGUAUUCGCAGUUCUCAAAGUUUAGUACUCAUAAUUUCAUAUUGUCUUAUAUUUCAACUUAUCCAAAUUGAGUAUCUUUUUUUAAAUUUUCUUAAUCGUAUAUUUUUCCAAAUUCAACUUCAUCCUUAUUCUUAGAGAUUACAUUCCAUAUUAGCUUGAUACUUUAAAUUUUUCAUCAUUCACAUUUUGACUGCUUUAACUAGAACUUCAUUAUCUAAAUUACUCAUUAGUGUAUAAUUGUCCUAAGUGCACGGUAUUGCAAUCUUUCGAUUCAGUCUAUUAGAACUAAGAAUUAUAUAUUUGUAAGAAACUUAUUAGAUUAUAGUUAUUGUUAUUUCAGAUUUAAAAAUUUAUUUGUGAUUAAAAGUACUUAACCCAACCCUGAUUAAUUAAUUGUUUAUGACUGAUUAAUUGUCUCAUCAGCAACUUUAUAAUUGGAAUUUAUUAUCACAGGUUAUAAUAAAGAAAGUACUACCGUGGCAAUUGGCGCCCAACGUAACAACCAAUACACGAUUAAUCGACAAUUGUACAGGACAUUGUUCAUUACUGAAACCAAGUCAUACUGUUCUUUGAGGAGGAUCAGUUCAUGAUGAGGGAACACCAUCAUUUUGAGCUGUGAAAUUUUCGGUUUUUGAUGACAACAACAAUUUUGAAAUUAAUGAGCCAUCAACAAGUUAACUACAAUGAAGAUGUGGGAUAUUUUAUAGAUGAAACCAUUUCUAGUUCACAAAAUUUCACAUCUAUAAGCAAUGACACAGAAAAUGAUUUGCUGAAAUGUGUAAAACAAUUGAAGACUCUCAAUCCAUAAGGAAAGAGGAGAUUAUUUGCAACUAUCAAUGGAUAAUUUUCCAAACAUAGGGUCAAUGCCAAGAAGAACUAACAUCUAAGAAGUGAAAAUUGAGAAACAAAUCUAUUUCCCAAGAAAAAAAAUUAAUACAGAGACUACCAGAACUUCAUAGCAAAUAAUU